CACUGCCCCCUGCUGGCCGGAGAUCACAAAGUCCCCCCGUUCUUCGGUGGAAGCCUGGGAGGGAGCCUAGUGAGGCUCCUCUUCCUCCUCAGCCUGAGCCCCAGCACAGCUCUAUCUGGCAGGAAAAUAACGCCAGCCACAAAGGGGACCCACAGGUGUAAUGCUGAGCUUUCCUGUAGCCGCAUCAAAAGAAGCAGGCCAGUGUGCAUUUUAUAUGGACGCAGCAUCUCCGUCAGAUGGGCCCCAUCUCAGGUCGCCCUGGGUCUGGCUGCACCCUGAGUUCUGUGCCGGGCGGGGCCACGUCCUCCCUCCCCGACCUGGGAACGCAGCCACGCAGAAAAGCUGCAGAGCUGCUCAUCAAAUCCCUCUCCCCAAGUCCGCUUUCUAUGCCGUUACGUUACGCAUUACGCUCCACUCUGUGCUGAAAAAAAGAAAUAAGUGAUUUUCCUUCGUCCACGAGUUUAACUCAGAUCUGCUAGAGAUUCUGGCGUCCCCUUCUUUCACCAGGAAGACGAUAGUCCUGGCAUGGACCAGCUUUGAGACCCACGUUCCAGAAUCAAGCUUGCGACUUUGGGGGGCUUCCCUCAUGGUGAGAAAAAGGCUGCGGCAAUUCCAAGCAUCACAUCUUCAUACUGCACCAUGCAGGAGAAAACAAGGCUGGCUUCCAGAAUGUCUCUCAGAAGAGCAAGGAACUUUUUGUGCCCUGUCCCUGUGAGGGCAAAUGUCCCCCAUGUCUCAGUGGUGAGAAGCAGACCACGGGCUCAUUUCUGGCUCGUCUCUCUGGUCGGGGGAAUUCUGUACAAGGAUGACCUUAGGCCACAGUCACUGACUGACCCCUGGACUAAGAGGACAGACUCAGCCAGCUGGGCUAAAACAACUACGGCCAUGCCUGCAGCCUGGGUGGGUCCCCCUCAAACCUGUGACCUUCACCUGAAGUGCAGGAUGCUGGGAGUGUGUCUCUGCAGACACCGUGUCUGCUGGCUGGGUUGAGCGUGGCUUCUAGAAGUCAUCCUCAGAAAGAGCUCAGAAAUGCAGGAAAUAGUUUAUGCAUGAAGAUGGUCCUUUUGGAUUUCUUUUUGAUUGCAAACAAGUG
rnacentral:lncRNA from 1 species